GGAGAGAGUUAACUUAACUUGGUAGCUAUAUUCUCUAGGGUCGCUUAACUGUGGCUGUGGGGGAUGGACGCUACCUGUUGUUGCACUGACUGCGUUGAUCGUGCUUUCCGAACAGUGUAGCGUUGCCCACUUUGUGGUGUCUUGCUCGCUGGGAGGUUUGUCAUGGUUAACGUAUAGCCUUAGUCCCGAGGGAGUCAGUGUGAAAGUUAACCACCUUUCCGACCCGUCUUGAAACACGGACCGAGGAGUGUUGGUUAUACGCGAGUCAAGGAGUGGUGAAAACUCUAGGGGCGGAAUGAAAGUAAAGACUAGUUAACUAGUUGACAUGGGAUCCGCUCUUCGGAGCGGCGCACCAUGGCCCUGUCUUGUCUGCUUGCAGAUGGGCAGCGGUAGAGCGUAUAGCUUGCGACCCGAAAGAUGGUGAACUAUGCUUGAGCAGGACGAAGCCAGAGGAAACUCUGGUGGAAGUCCGUAUCGGUUCUGACGUGCAAAUCGAUCGAUAGACUUGAGUAUAGGGGCGAAAGACUAAUCGAACUAUCUGUA
rnacentral:rRNA from 1 species